rnacentral:miRNA from 1 species
GUUGCUCUGCUGGCAACAUCUG